CUUGGCGACCAUAGCGUUUUGGACCCACCUGACUCCAUCCCGAACUCAGAAGUGAAACGAAAUAGCGUCGAUGGUAGUGUGGGGUCUCCCCAUGUGAGAGUAGAACAUCGCCAGGC
rnacentral:rRNA from 1 species